rnacentral:ncRNA from 1 species
UUGUCUUCGGGGCGGGGUGAAAGUCCCCACCGGCGGUAUAGUCCGCGAGCGGCUCUCAGGAGCGGCAGGAACCGGUGCAAUUCCGGUACCGACAGUCACAGUCUGGAUGAGAGAAGGCG